rnacentral:rRNA from 1 species
UACGUAGGGUGCGAGCGUUGUCCGGAAUUAUUGGGCGUAAAGAGCUCGUAGGCGGUCUGUCGCGUCGGAUGUGAAAACUCGGGGCUCAACCCCGAGCCUGCAUUCGAUACGGGCAGACUAGAGUUCGGUAGGGGAGACUGGAAUUCCUGGUGUAGCGGUGAAAUGCGCAGAUAUCAGGAGGAACACCGGUGGCGAAGGCGGGUCUCUGGGCCGAGAUUGACGCUGAUGCGACGAAAGCCAGGGGAGCAAACGGG